UACAGAGGUCCCAAGCGUUGUUCGGAUUCACUGGGCGUAAAGGGUGCGUAGGCGGUGCGGUAAGUCGGAUGUGAAAGCUCGGAGCUCAACUCCGAAAUGGCAUUGGAAACUACCUCGCUAGAGGAUCGGAGGGGAGACUGGAAUUCUCGGUGUAGCAGUGAAAUGCGUAGAUAUCGAGAGGAACACCAGUGGCGAAGGCGAGUCUCUGGACGAUUCCUGACGCUGAGGCACGAAAGCCAGGGGAGCAAACGGG
rnacentral:rRNA from 1 species